GUAGGUGAACCUGCGGAAGGAUCAUUACCUAGAGUUGCGGGCUUUGCCUGCCAUCUCUUACCCAUGUCUUUUGAGUACCUUCGUUUCCUCGGCGGGUCCGCCCGCCGAUUGGACAAAACUUAAACCCUUUGUAAUUGAAAUCAGCGUCUGAAAAAACUUAAUAGUUACAACUUUCAACAACGGAUCUCUUGGUUCUG
rnacentral:misc_RNA from 1 species